rnacentral:sRNA from 1 species
CUCGUUCGCCUGCUGCGGGCAGAUGAAGUGGAUAUGUGUGUCAAUGCCACCAGCGGUGAUGAUCUUGCCCUCUCCGGCAAUGACAUCCGUACAGCUGCCGACCACCAUGCCCGGUGUAACGCCCUCCAUGACAUCCGGGUUGCCCGCCUUGCCAAUGCCCACGAUCAGCCCGUCUUUUACGCCAAUGUCCGCCUUAUAGAUUCCUGUCCAGUCCACAAUCAGGGCGUUGGUGACAACCAGAUCCAGCGUCCUCGAGUCCGGCCGCCCGGUGGCCUGCCCCAUGCCCUCGCGGAG